rnacentral:lncRNA from 1 species
CCAGGUGCAGAGGUACUACUGUGACUCAAUGAAAGUGACUCAACAAUGGUGGGUAAGUACAAUGGCUCUGCUUUUAGGAUCCUUUGACUCAUUCUACAAGUUUUGUUUUCUUACAUUUCAAAGAUGUUUUGCUUCUAUUCUACAGCAAAUAGUGUAUCUGCAAUGUCAAGAGCAAUUGCAGGAUUUACAAGUCUGGGGUUAGAUAUUCCCAAAUCAGCUUGCUUUUUGUAGGGACAAAUCUUGACAUACUGAAAUUUUGGAAACAGUAAGUUAUUAAAGAGGAGGUAGCCCCAGGUGACAAAGGGAAAUUGGAAAACAUGACAAGAAAAAGUAGAUUGUUAUUCCUGCAGAGGAGUAUCAGUGAGUUGUCUCCCCCAUCCUUUCUUCCCUGUAUUUUUUGUUGUUGUUGUUUUUGUUUUUAAUCUUGAACUUUCUUAUUUAAGAUUUUUUUUUAUUUUUAUUUUUGUCUAGGAAGAACUUGGUAAAUGCUUCCUGUGUAUGUAGAAAAGAUGUCUCUUGUGAUGUCACAGGGAUAGUGUGGUCAGGAGAUGAGAAUUAAUGAGAGGAGGUGCAGAGAGUACUUAGACCUUUGUCUUGGAACCUACUAUUUUCUGCUUUUGCUUGCAGACCUUGUAUUUCCUCUUAUUUUGCAUCUUAAGGGAAACAGAAGAAUGGUCUGCCAUCCAGUGUUGGUAGGUUGUACCAUGAGGAAAGAAUCCACCUAA